rnacentral:rRNA from 1 species
UACGGGGGGGAGCAAGCGUUGUUCGGAUUUACUGGGCGUAAAGGGCGCGUAGGCGGCCUCUGCAAGUCGACUGUGAAAUCUCCGGGCUUAACCCGGAAAGGUCAGCCGAUACUGCAGGGCUAGAGUGCAGAAGGGGCAACUGGAAUUCUCGGUGUAGCGGUGAAAUUCGUAGAUAUUGGGAAGAACACCGGUGGCGAAGGCGGCUCUCUGGACCGAGACUGACGCUGAGGCGCGAAAGCUAGGGGAGCAAACGGGG